rnacentral:rRNA from 1 species
GAUCCUGGCUCAGAUUGAACGCUGGCGGAAUGCUUUACACAUGCAAGUCGAACGGUAGAGGGGGCAACCCCUUGAGAGUGGCGAACGGGUGAGUAAUGUAUCGGAACGUGCCCAGUCGUGGGGGAUAACGUAGCGAAAGUUACGCUAAUACCGCAUACGAUCUAAGGAUGAAAGCGGGGGAUCGCAAGACCUCGCGCGAUUGGAGCGGCCGAUAUCAGAUUAGGUAGUUGGUGGGGUAAAGGCUCACCAAGCCAACGAUCUGUAGCUGGUCUGAGAGGACGACCAGCCACACUGGAACUGAGACACGGUCCAGACUCCUACGGGAGGCAGCAGUGGGGAAUUUUGGACAAUGGACGCAAGUCUGAUCCAGCCAUUCCGCGUGCAGGAUGAAGGCCCUCGGGUUGUAAACUGCUUUUGUACGGAACGAAAAGGUUUGUCUUAAUACGAUGAGCUCAUGACGGUACCGUAAGAAUAAGCACCGGCUAACUACGUG